rnacentral:lncRNA from 1 species
AAUAGGUCUUUUCUUAAUUCAUUUACUAAUAAGAUAUUAUCACCAAUCUUUCGUUUAAACAUUUCAAAACAAGCGGAAACAAUAUGCGAAACAUCAACCACAGCCCGAUCCCGAUGUCGCUAGUCAUGAGCCACUAAAAUACAAUCUGGUAUGUCUACUCAAUACAAGAGGAGUCUGAUAAAAACAAAUACUAAAAGAUAGGAACGAGAAAGGCAAGGCUGCAGAAGCCGUGUAGCUGCCUUCCUAACUCCGGAAAUGCUCUGAAGGAAAGAACAGCUCUCACUCGGACCCUGGCACCUAGAUUUGCACACAAGGUGCAGGGAGUAACGUGAGUACGCCAACUCAGUAAGUAACAAUUAUAAAUAAAAGCUGAGUACAAUGAUGAGCAUUUAAAAUCAUAUACAUCUCGUAACUUAAAAAUCUCAGUGGAAAAAGAACAAAGUAAAAUCAGUAACUCAAUUCCGAACAUCUCGUAAAGAUUCCAGUUUCAAUAAAAGUUGUUUAAAACAUUUGUUCAAUAUUUUCAAUAGAGGCUAUAAAAGAAAAGUGAAACAGUAAUUUCAUAAAACAAGCCCCUCGGGCAAAGUAUCACUCAUAUAUAUAGCCCCUCGGCAAGCCUCUCAGUCACUCGUGACUCAAUUAUCAUCAAUCAGCACUCCUGCUCAAUAGUUAUCUCAUAAUAACCGCCACCGCGUGCAACCCGAUCCAUAAAUAUAUAGUUGACUGUGCUCACUUGGGGUGUGCAGACUUUAGAGGGGCUCCUACAACCCAAGCGCUAUAUCGCUGCGGCGUGCAGCCCGAUCCAAUAUAUCAUUGCGGCGUGUAGCCCGAUCCACACACACACACAGAUAUAUAUAUAUCGCUGCGGCGUGCAGCCCGAUCCAUAAUUAUAUAUCCUCACUAUCAGGCCCUCGGCCUCUCUUAAUCAUCAACCUCACAGCCACUCGGGCAUUUCAAUUAAAAAUCAUGGAACUCAGCCCAAACAGUUUUCAUAUAUUUGAAGGUAGAGUAAUGAAACUGAAUCAAACAAUAAACAAGCAAAAAUCAUGACUGAGGAUAUGCUUUCGAAUCAAAACAAUGUGAGGAUAGUAGUAAAAUACCCCUGAGGGUCCAAACAGUACGGCACAAGGCCCCAAACAUGGCAUUCAGCCCAAGCUAACGGAAUUAUUUCUAAACACAUAGAUUUCAUAUAGUGUUUAUCAAAAUUAUGCAACUCUACACUUGCCACGGGAUGGACCAAUUCACAAUCCCUACCGGUGUACGCCCAUACACCCAUCACCUAGCAUGUGUGUCACCUCAUUUAUAAAAAUUAGUACGAAAUUUGGGGGUUUCAUACCCUCAGAUCUAGAUUUAAAAUCGUUACUUACCUCGAACCGGAUGAAGAUCUACUCCGCAAUGCUCUUGCCUCUUGACUCGGCCUCCAAUCGCCCUGAAUAUAUCCAAACUCAGAAUCAUAUCAUCAAUACAUGCCAAAGGAACAAAACCCAUAUGAAAAUUAUCAAAUUAGACCCAAAAUCCCGAAUUUGCUCUAAAUCAACCCCCGGGUCCAUGUCUCGGAAUCCAACAAAAAUUACAAAACUAGAAACUUCUUUCACUCCCGAGUCUAUACAUACCAAAAUCAUCAAAAUCGUACCUCAAAUGGCCCCUCAAAUCUCCAAUUUAAACUCUCCAAUUUCAAACCUUAAUCUCCCAAUUUUUUCUCUAAUUUUCCCAUUAAUAUCAUGAUUCAACAAUGGAAUAAUUGCCAUAAACACAAGAUACAAGGUCCAAGUAGUUUACCUCACUAAAAACACUUAAUUCCCUCUUGAAAUCACAGCCCCCAAGCUCCAACUCGUCCAAAAAUGGUGAAGAAAUGGCUGAAAUUCGCGGAGAGGGCUUUUUAUAUGUUCUGCCCAGCUAUUUCCGCAUCUGCGAACAAUAUCUCGCACAUGCAGGCCGCUUUUGCGCCCAAAAAUCCGCACCUGCGGAAGUCACUUAAGUCCUCAGAUGCUACACCUACGCCCCAAGUCUCUCACCUGCGGGCUCGCAGAUGCGGUCCAGCCCUCCGCUCCUGCGACCAAUGCCUCUUCUGCGGUCUCCUUUCUGCUUCUACGGCUCGCACCUACGGUCCCAAUCCACAGGUAUGGUUAUGACAGAAAACAAUAGCUUCAGCUACAACUCCAAUUUUCCAACUCUCUAAUAACCCGUCGAAAUCAUCCCAAGGCCCUCGAGACCUCAACCAAACCUACCAACAAGUCAUAUACCAUUAUUCAAACUUAUUCAAACCUUCGGAACACUCAAAACAACAUCAAAAUACCAAAUCACCCUAUGAUUCAAGCCUAAAGAUUUCUAAACUUUCGAAUUCUACAAACAAUACAAAAACCUAUCAAACCUCAUUCGAAUGACCUGAAAUUUUGCACACACGUCACAAAUGACAUAACGGACCUACUCCAAUUUCUAGAAUUCCAUUCUGACCCCGAUAUCAAGAUUUCCUCUAUCGGUCGGAAAAUGCCAAAUUUCCAAUUUUGUAAAUUCAAGCCUAAAUCUAUCACGGACAUCCAAAAUACAUUCCGAUCACACUCCUAAGUCCAAAAUCACCUAACGAAGCUAUCUGAAUUAUCAGAAUUUACCUCUGAGACUUUCUACUCAUAAGUCAAAAUCCAGUCGACUUUUCCAACUUAAGCUUCUAAAUAAGAGACUAAGUGUCUCAUUUCACUCCAUGACCACUCCACACACAGAACAACCAACACGAUAUGAUGAAAUACAGCUGAACAACACAUAAAGAAGAAGAAAUGGGGAUAACAGGACUGUAACUCAUGAAACGACCGGCUGGAUCGUUACAUCCUCCCCCUCUUAAACAAAUGUUCAUCCUCGAACGGGUCAAGAAACAUACCUGGAACCUCAAAUAGGUGAGGAUAUAUGUUCCACAUCUCCCGCUCGGUCUCCCAGGUGGCCUCCUCCACGGGCCGACCUCUCCACUGCACUUUCACUGAAGCUAUAUCCUUUGAUCUCAACUUUCAGACCUCCUACUCCAAAAUAGCCACUGGCUCCACAUCAUAAGUCAAAUCAUCGUCUAACUUAAUCGUGCUAAAAUCCAAAACAUGAGACGGAUCGUCAAUAUACUUCCGGAUCAUAGAAACAUGAAAUAUCGGAUGCACACUCAACACGCUAGGUGGUAAAGCAGGCUCAUAAGCCACCUCCCUAAUCCUCCGAAGUACCUCAAAAGGCCCAAUGAACUAAGGACUCAAUUUACCCUUCUUCCCAGACCUCAUAACACCUUUCAUGGAUGAAACCUUCAGUAGAACCUUCUCCCCAACCAUGUACAACACAUCACGAACCUUCCUAUCAACAUAACUCUUUUGUCUUGACUGCGAUGUACGAAGCCGCUCCUAAAUCACUUUCACCUUGUCCAAAGCAUCCUGCACUAAGUUUGUCCCCAAAAGCCUGGCCUAGCCCGGCUUAAACCAUCCUAUUGGAGAUCUAUACCGUCUCACAUAUAAAGCCUCAUAUUGAGCCAUCUAAAUACUCGACUGAUAACUGUUGUUAUAUGCAAACUUCGCGAGCUGUAGAAACUGAUCCCAUGAACCCCCAAAAUCAAUGACACAAGCGCACAACAUGUCCUCCAAUAUAUGAAUAGUGCGCUCGGACUACCCGUUCGUCUGAGGGUGAAAAGUUGUGCUCAUCUCAACCUAAGUACCCAACUCUCGUUGCAUGGCCCUCCAAAACUGCGGCGUAAACUGAGUACCUCUAUCCAAAAUGAUGGAAACUGGGACACCAUAUAGGCGAACAAUCACUCAGAUAUAAAUCCCUGCUAAUCGCUCUAAAAAAUAGAUAGUACACACAGGAAUGAAGGGCGCGGACUUGGUCAGUCGAUCCACAACCACUCAAAUAGCAUCGAACUUCCUCAAAGUCUGUGGGAGUCCAACUACGAAAUCCAUGGUGAUCCGCUCCCACUUCCACUCUGGAAUAUCCAUCUGCUGAAGUAAGCCACCCGAUUUCUGAUGCUCAUAUUUCACCUGCUGACAAUUGAGACACCGAGCUACAAAUCCCACUAUAUCUUUCUUCAUUCUCCUUCACCAGUAGUGUUGUCUCAAAUCUUGAUACAUCUUUGCGGCACCCGAAUGGAUGGAAUAUCGUGAGCUAUGAGCCUCCUCCAGAAUCAACUCCCAAAGCCCAUCCACAUUGGGCACACAUAUCCGACCCUGCAUCCUCAAUACCCCAUCAUCACCAAUAGUCACAUAUCUGGCAUCGUCGUGUUGUACUCUGUCCUUGAGGACAAGCAAAUGAGGAUCAUCAGUUACUGGCGCUCUCUGAUGCGAUCAAACAAGGAAGACCGAGAAACCACACAAGCUAGGAUCCGACUGGGCUCCGAAAUAUCCAACCUCACAAACCAAUUGGCCAAGGCCUGAACAUCAACUGCAAGAGGUCUCUCCCUGACAGGAACAUACGCCAAACAGCCCAUACUCACCGCCUUCCUACUCAAGGCAUCGACCACUACAUUAGCCUUCCCCGAAUGGUAAAAGAUAGUGAUAUCAUAAUCCUUUAGCAGCUCCAACCAUCUCCGCUGCCUCAAAUUGAGAUCCUUCUGCUUGAACAAGUGCUGGAGGCUACGAUAAUCAGUAAACACCUCACAAAACACACCAUAGACAUAAUGCCUCCAAAUCUUCAACGCAUGAACAAUGGCAUCCAACUCCAAAUCAUAAACAUGGUAGUUCUUCUCAUGGGGCUUUAACUGAUGAGAAACAUAAGCAAUCACUCUACCAUCAUACAUCAACACACACCCAAUACCAACUCUAGAUGCAUCACAAUAUACUGUGUAUGAACCUGAAGCUUAUGGCAAAACUAACACUGGAGAUGUGGUCAAAACAGUCUUGAGCUUCUGGAAGCUUGCCUCACACUCAUCCGACCAUCUGAAUAGACCACCCUUUUGAGUCAAUUUGGUCAAGGGUGAUGCAAUAGAUGAAAAUCCCUGAAUGAACCGACGGUAAUAACCCGCCAAACCAUGAAAGCUGCGAAUCUCAGUGGCUGAGGACGAUCUGGGCCAACCCGGAACCACCUUUAUCUUCUUCGGAUCAACCUGAAUACCCUCACUGGACACCACGUGCCCCAAGAAAGCCACUGAACUGAGCCAAAACUCACACUUGGAGAACUUUGCAUAAAGCUUCUCCUCCCUCAACCGCUGCAAUACAAUAAAUGCCCAGCGUGCUCCUUCUAACUACGCGAGUAUACUAGAAUAUCAUCAACAAAUAUAAUAACAAACGAGUCGAGAUAAGGCCGAAACACAUUGUUCAUCGAAUGCAUCAACGCUGUUGGGGUAUUGGUCAGCCCAAAAGACAUCACAAAGAACUCAUAAUGACUGUAUCGGGUCCUGAAAACCGUCUUAAGAAUAUCUGAGUCCCUGAUCUUCAACUGGUGAUACCCUAACCGAAGAUCAAUCUUGGAGAACACCCUCGCUCCCUAAAAUUGGUCAAAUAAAUCAUCAAUACGAGGAAAAGGAUACUUGUUCUUGAUUGUAACUUUGUUCAACUGCCUGUAAUCAACGCACAUCCUCAUCGUGCCAUCUUUUUUCUUCACAAAUAGAACAGGCGCACCCUAAGGCGACACACUAGGCCGAAUAAAUCCCUUAUCAAGGAGUUCCUGAAGCUGCUCCUUCAACUCCGUCGGUGCCAUACGAUACGGUGGAAUAGAAAUGGGCUGAGUGCCCGACACCAAUCAAUACCGAAGUUAAUAUCCCUGUCUGGUGGCAUGCCCGGUAGGUUUGCAGGAAACAUAUCUGGAAAGUCCCUCACCACCGGGACUAAAUCAAUAGUAAGAGUCUCUAUACUAACAUCCCUCACGAAGGCCAAACAAGAAAGGCAACCCUUCCCAACCAUCUUUUGGGCCUUCAAAAACGAAAUCACUCUACUGGGAACAAAAUCAGUCGAACCUCGCCACUCAAUCUUUGGCACACCCAGCCUAACAUCACUGUCUUAGCAUGAUAGUCCAAAAUAGCAUGACAUAGAGAUAGCCAAUCCAUGCCUAAUAUCACAUCAAAAUCCCUAAUGGAGGUCCACUCGGGACUCCAAACCCCUAAUGGUCACCAGACACGACCGAUAUAUGCGGUCCACAAUAAUAGUAUCACCUACCGGAGUAGAUACAUGAACAGAUGAAACAAGAGACACACGGGCAUAUCCAAAUAACGAGCAAAAUACGAUGACACAUAUGAAAAAAUGGAAGUAGGAUCAAAUAACACAGAGGCAUCUCUGUGGCAAACUGAGACAAUACAUAUAAUCACGGCAUCUGAAGGAAUAACAUCUGGUCUGGCUGGGAGUGCAUAGAAAUGGGCCUAACCACCACCUGAUCGACCUCUUCCUCUAGGGCGACCGCUAACUGACUGACCCCCACCCCUAGCUGCCUGGGCGGGUGGUGAAGUAAUUGGAGCUGAAGUCGAGGGCUGACUCCUCUGUUUAGAUGGACCCCAUGAAGACGAGGACAUUGUCUCCUCAUAUGCCCAAACUCUCCACACUCAUAACAACUCCCUAGUACGGGGCACUGGGACUGAAGGGAACCCCUAGCACCGGGAUGACUAGUAGAAGAACCUGGCAUGGAAGAGCCCUUAACUAAUGGAGCACGGGACGAACUCUGGGCUAGAAGGGCACUAAGUGAUGAAUGGCCCUGAUGAGAACUGUGGGAAGCAUGGCCCCAUGAUGCCCCACAAUGAACUGGGCGAGCUGACUGAGCUUAUCUGAAUGGACAACCUCUAUCGUGCUAAAACUGGAUCCUCAAAUGAGCACCAUCAAAACUACCAAAUCUCCGAGACCUCUUGGCAUCCCUCUCAUCUCACUUCUGGCGACGAACUGACUCAAUCUCUCGGGCAAUAUCAACAACCUGCUCAAAAGUAGCACCUGACAUGCUCUCGCUGGUCAUGAGAAUCCGAAGCUGAUAUGUGAGGACAUCCAUAAACCUCCUGAUCCUCUCCCUAUCUGUAGGAACUAACCAAACAGCAUGAUGAGCUAGCUCUGAAAAUCUCAUCUCAUACUAUGUCACAGUCAUAUCAUCCUAACGCAACUGCUCGAACUGCCUGUGCAGCUCCUCCCUACAAGCCUGUGGCACUUGUUUCUCCAAAAAGAGAGCAAAGAACUGCUGCCAGGUAAGGGGAGUUACGCCAACAGGCCUACGCCUCUCAAAAGCCUCCCACCAAGUAAAGGCAGCUCCUGAAAACUAAAAAGUAGUGAACGAGACCCCACUAGUCUCCAAAAUACCUGCGGUCCGAAGCAUCCUCUAACACUUCUCCAAGAAACCCUGGGCAUCCUCGUCUUCCACACCACUAAAAGUCGGAGGAUGAAGUCUAGCAAACCUCUCCAAUCGACGCUGCUCGUCGUCAGGCAUAAUUGGUACCACAUAAUCUUGACCAAGCAUAACCGGCUGGGCUGGAGGUGCCCCUAGCGUCUGAAGUCCCGGCACAACCUGCUCAGGUGUGCGAGCGGCGGGAGUUUGGGUGCCUCCCCCGGCCUGAGAAGUAGCUAUGACCGUAGUAACUGAGACAGCCUGAGCCAGGCCAGUGCACACUGAUAGAAUCUGGGCUAGGACCUCUUGAAGGCCUGGAAUAACAAUCGGCACAACCGAUACCUGAGCUAGUCCUGCUGGAACGUCCACAACUGGAACCUGAUCGUGAACUGGGGCAGCUGGUGGAUCUGCAGGUGCUGCCCUAGCGGCUGUGCAGGCUACACCCCUAAUCCUACCACGACCUCGACUGCGACCUCAUCCUCUAGUGGCCCCAUCUGGUGGUACUGGUGGUCGUUCAUCCUAACCGGUAGCAUGUGUCCUCACCAUCUGUGAAAGAAUAGAAUAACAGAAGUUUAGUUACCAGAAUCAACAGAUUCGCACGAUAGGAAUUCAAGAAUGUGAAAUUUUUCCUAAAGGUUCUGCAGCCUCUCGAAGAUAAGUACAGAUGUCUCUGUACUAAUCCGCAAGACUCUACUAAACCUGCUCAUGACUGGUGAGACCUAUGUAACUUAUGCUCUGAUACCAACUUGUCACGACCCUAAACCACCCCGAUUGUGAUGGCGCCUAUCGCAGUACUAGGAUAGCCGAUUCGAUAUGUACAACAUAAACAGGUCUUUUCUUAAUUCAUUUACUAAUAAGAUAUUAUCAACAAUCUUUCGUUUAAACAUUUCAAAACAAGCGGAAUCAAAUAUGCGAAACAUCAACCACUGCCCGAUCCCGGUAUCACUAGUCAUGAGCCACUAAAAUACAAUCUGGUACUGUCUACUCAAUACAAGAUGUGUCUGAUAAAAACAAAUACUAAUAUAUAGGAGCGAGAAAGGCAAGGCUUUAGACGCUGUGCAACUACCUUGCUAACUCCGGAAAUGCUCUGAAGGAAGGAACAACUCUCACUCGGAUGCCCUGGUACCUGGUCUGCACACAAGAUGUAGGGAGUAACGUGAGUACGCCAACUCAGUAAGUAACAAUUAUAAAUAAAGGCUGAGUGUAGUGACGAGCAUUUAAAAUUAUAUACAUCUCAUAACAUAAAAAUCUUAGUGGAAAAAGUACAAAGUCAAAUCAGUAACUCAAUUUCGAACAUCUCGUAAAAACUCCAGUUUCAAUGAAAGUUGUUUAAAACAUUUGUUCAACAUUUUUAAUAGAGGCUCAGACUGAUAGAGUUUUGUUUAGGUUUUUUAGCGGUCUAUGCUAUGUUCACAUGGUUGGUUGCAUAGUUUUGUGUUAUUGUCCUUUCCCUUAUUCGUUGUUAUAAUUUUCUUUCUGGCAUCUUUUGUUGUUACAUGCCUUUUCUUUUAUUUCUUUCCUGAUAUUAUUGUCUCUCUUGUUGAGCCGAGAGUCUCCUGGAAACAGCCUCUCUACGCUUUUCGGGGUAGGGGUAAGGUCUGCGUACACUCUACUCUCUCCAGACCCUACUAGUAGGAUUUUACUGGGUAUGUUGUUGUUGUUGCUCAGUAUAAAAGAAGAGUGAAACGGUAAUUUCAUAAAUAAGUCCCUCGGGCAAAGUAUCACUCAUAUAUAUAGUCCUUUGGCAAGCCUCUCAGUCACUCGUGACUCAAUUCUAAUCAAUUAGCACUCACACUCAGCACUCCCGCUCAAUAGAUAUCUCAUAAUAACCGCCGCCGCGUGUAGCCGAUCCAUAAAUAUAUAAUCGACUGCGCUCAAUGGGGGGUGUGCAGACUCCGGAAGGGCUCUUACAGCAAAGCGCUAUAUCACUGCGGCAUGCAGCCGGAUCCAACAUAUCGCUGCAGCGUGCAGCCCGAUCCAUAAUUAUAUAAUCCUCACCAUCAAGCCCUCAGCCUCUCUCAGUCAUCAACCUCACAACCACUCGGGCAUUUAAGUGAAAAAUCAGGGAAUUCAACCCAAACAGUUUUCAUAUAUUUGAAGGAAGAGUAAUGAAACUGAAUCAAACAAUAAACAGGUAAAAAUCAUGACUGAGGAUAUUCUUUCGAAUUAAAACAGUGUGAGAAUAGUAGUAAAAUACCCCUGAGGGUCCAAACAGUACGGCACAAGGCCCCAAAUAUGGCAUUCAACCAAGUUAACAGAAUUAUUUCUAAACACAUAGAUUUCAUAUAGAGUUUAUCAAAAUAUGCAACUCUACAGUUGCCAUGGGACAGACCAAGUCACAAUUCUUACUAGUGUACGCCCACACGUCCGUCACCUAACAUGUGCAUCACCUCAUUCAUCAAACUUAGUACGAAAUUCCGAGUUUCAUACCCUCAGAUCUAGAUUUACAAUCGUUACUUACCUCGAACCGGACGAAGACCUACUCUGCAAUGCUCUUGCCUCUCGACUUGGCCUCCAAUCUCUCCGAAUCUAUCCAAAAUUAUAAUCAUAUCAUGAAUACAUACCAAAGGAACAAAACCCACAUGAAAAUUAUCAAAUUAAACCCAAAAUCCCGAAUUUGCUCAAACCCGGCCUCCGGGUCCACGUCUCGGAAUCCAACAAAAAUUGCAAAACUAGAAACUUCUUUCACUCCCGAGUCUAUACAUACCAAAAUCAUCAAAAUCGGACCUAAAAUGGCCCCUCAAAUACCCAAUUUAAACUCUCCAAUUUCAAGCCCUAAUCUCUCAAUUUCUUCUCUAAUUUUCCCAUUAAUAUCAUGAUUAAACAAUGGAAUAAUUGCCAUAAACACAAGAUAGAAGGUCCAAGUAGCUUACCUCACUGAAAACACUUAAUUCCCUCUUGAAAUCACAGCCCCCAAGCUCCAACUCAUCCAAAAAUGGUGAAGAAAUGGCUGAAAUUCGCGAAGAGGGCUUUUUAUACUUUCUGCCUAGCUAUUUCCACAUCUGCGGAAAAUAUCUCGCACUUGCGGGCCGCUUCUGCACCCAAAAAUCCGCACCUACGGAAGUCACUUAAGUCCUCAGACGCCGCACCUUUGCCCCAGGUCUCGCACCUGCGAGCUCGCAGAUGCGGUCCAGCCCUCCACUCCUGCGACCAAUGCUGCUUCUGCGGUAUCCUUUCCGCUUCUGCGGCUCGCACCCGCGGUCCCCAAUUUGUAGGUGCAGAUAUAAUAGGAAAAAGCAGCUUCAGCUACAACUCCAAUUUUCCAACUCUCCGAUAACCCUACCGAAAUCAUCCCGAGGCCCUCGAGACUUUAACUAAACCUACCAACAAGUCAUAUACCACUAUUCAAACUUAUUCAGACCUUCGGAACACUCAAAACAACAUCAAAACACUAACUCACCCUCGGAUUCAAGCCUAAGGAUUUCUAAACUUCCGAAUUCUGCAAACGAUACAAAAACCUAUCAAACCUCAUCCGAAUGACCGAUACAACGGACCUACUCUAAUUUUCGGAAUUUCACUCCGACCCCGAUAUCAAUUCCUCUACCGACCGGAAAAUGCUAAAUUUCCAAUUUCGCCAAUUCAAGCCUAAAUCUAUCACGGACUUCCAAAAUACAUUCUGAACACGCUCCUAAGUCCAAAAUCACCUAACGAAGCUAUCCAAACCAUCAGAAUUCAUAUCCGAGACCUUCUACUCAUAAGUCAACAUCUAGUUGCCUUUUCCAACUUAAGAUUCUAAAUAAGAGACUAAGUGUCUCAUUUCACUCUAUGACCACUCUGAACACAGAACAACCAACACGAUAUGAUGAAGUACAGCUGAAAACACAUAAAGAAGCAGAAAUAAGGAGAGCGGGACUGUAACUCAUGAAACGACCAGCUGAGUCGUUACAUGAGAAUUUUAGUAGAGAUAAUGAUAUUAAAUUGUGAAGCAUUUCAUCACAACUAGCAAAUUUCUUAAUCCAAAUGACUAAAAAUGCUUUCCAUUCACCUAAAAAUAACCAUGACAUUGAGAACUAGUUGUAAAUAACAAAAACCUCUUUACCUCACUUUAAUUCCAACAAAAUACUUAUUUAUGAGAAAAACUAUCCAUCCAGGCUUAAACCACAGCAAAAUUCCAAACACUGGCAUGAUUUCAAAGAUUCAAAAAAAAUACUAAAAGAUAUGACUAAAGGGACGUAUAAUGAGCCUCACUUCAUGAUCAUUUUACCCAUUUAUUAUGAAGAAAUAAUAUGAUAAAUAUUUCUAGUUUUAAAAAAAAUAAGAAACUAAAUAAAUAAAUAUAAAACCCUUUCAAAGAGCUUAGAGCAAUUUCCAAAGCACCUAACUAAAUCAUAGAUAAAACUGACGCAUAGAACUUUGAGUAAAUCAACUUCUAUCCAUUUUGUGAUUUCAAAAUAUGCAAAUCAAAAUUUUCACGCUAGUUCCAUGUUGUUAACAUCAUAUACUAUUAUUCUUACUUGAUAAACACUUAACAAUCACAUGCAAAUUUCAACAAAGACACAGAACCAAGCAUUAGAGUAGAAACAAAUAUGAACACAACUAAGCUGAACCAAAAUUGAUGAAAGCUUAACACUAUGCAAAAUUUCCAAAACAGAUGAACCUAACGAUUCUAACUCAGCUUUUAAUAGUGAUUGAGUACCUAAACGUACCAACGCAUGGAACCAACACUGGUCUAUAUCAUGUGUAAUUCAAAUCCCCAUCUUAAAAUAGAUCUUCCAAUGCUUGGAUUCACAAUAGUAACAGCAAAUAAACAAAAGAAUAGAGAGAUGAACCUGAGAAAUGUGAAUUUCUUCUUAAUAGUAGAAAGUAGAAAUUCGGCUACAAAGCUUUGAAUCGAAAAUCCCAGUGAAAAGAAAACAACGACAAAUGUCAAAUAGGAAUCGCGAACCCAGACCGGAAAACUCGAACGGCAAUCGACCGCAGUGGAAAAUUCGAAACAACCUUGGCUCAAUCAGAUUCCAUAUUUGAAACCCAAAUCAAAUAAGAAAAAGUAGCUCAAAUAUUUUUGUGUAUUUUCUGAUUUUUUUCAAAAUGGAAACAAAACUCGAACAAGAAUCUAAACUCAAAAUACUUUUUUUUAUAUUUUCAUUUUUCUGAAAUUCAAACUAAACUUAGAAAAAUCUGAAAAUUGAAAAAAAAAUCUAAAACUUUUCUUCUCCCUUCUCCCUUUUUUCCCAAGUAUUCUAUGCAAAAUCCCCCGAAAAAUUCCAAAAAUGAGAAUAUUUAUAAGAACUCUCGAAGUUUAUAUUCUUCUCCUCCCAGAAAUCCAAAACUUUUUUUCAAAAAUCCGAAAACUCCCCACAAAAACGAAAUUUACUCUUCUAGACCAAAUCUAGACAAAUGGAAGGGUAGGAUUUAAGGCACCCAAAUCUUACGUCUCCCAUUGAUCCAAAAUCCGUCCAAGGGAAAUCUAAAAUGCAUGCGGUGAGGUUGAAGAAGAUUCGAUUGUCAGAAGUUUGUUAGGCUACAUGGCAGAAAGAGAUGAGGGGGACUACGUGGGGGAGUGGGCUUGAUUUUUUGGCGGGUUUGGUGCAGAUUAGCGGGUCUGGCGGCGGCAAGAGGAUGGAGAAAGGGGUGGCACGGCUAGGUUAAGGUCUAGGGUUUGUGGAAGAUAUAAAUUUUAUAUGGUUAGGGGAUUUAAU